UAGGGAAUAUUGCAAAAUGGGCGAAGGCCCGAUGCAGCAACGCCGCGUGGGCGAUGAAGGCCUUCGGGUCGUAAAGCCCUUUUUGAGGGGAUGAGGAAGGACAGUACCCUCAGAAUAAGCCUCGGCUAACUACGUGCCAGCAGCCGCGGUAAAACGUAGGAGGCGAGCGUUAUCCGGAUUUACUGGGCGUAAAGCGCGUGCAGGCGGAUUGGAGAGUUGGAUGUGAAAGCUCCCGGCUUAACUGGGAGAGGUCGUUCAAUACUUCCAGUCUUGAGUGCAGUAGAGNGAAGUGGAAUUCCGGGUGUAGUGGUGAAAUGCGUAGAUAUCCGGAGGAACACCAGUGGCGAAAGCGGCUUCCUGGACUGUAACUGACGCUCAGACGCGAAAGCUAGGGUAGCAAACG
rnacentral:rRNA from 1 species